rnacentral:rRNA from 1 species
GAACUGCAUUGGAAACUGGUUACCUAGAGUAUGGGAGGGGGAGAUGGAAUUAGUGGUGUAGGGGUAAAAUCCGUAGAUAUCACUAGGAAUACCGAAAGCGAAGGCGAUCUCCUGGAACAAUACUGACGCCAAGGCGUGAAAGCGUGGGGAGCAAACGGGAUUAGAUACCCCGGUAGUCCACGCCCUAAACGAUGAGCACUAGUCGUCGGAAUGCUAGUCAUUUCGGUGAUGCACUUAACAGAUUAAGUGUUCCGCCUGGGGAGUACGGUCGCAAGAUUAAAACUCAAAGGAAUAGACGGGGACCCGCACAAGUGGUGGAGCAUGUGGUUUAAUUCGAAGAUACGCGAAGAACCUUACCUAGCCUUGACAUAUUUAAGAAUCCGAUAGAGAUAUUGGAGUGCCUUCGGGAGCUUUCUUACAGGUGCUGCACGGCUGUCGUCAGCUCGUGUCGUGAGAUGUUGGGUUAAGUCCCGCAACGAGCGCAACCCUCGUCACUAGUUACUAACGGUUCGGCCGAGGACUCUAGUGAGACUGCCUUCGUAAGGAGGAGGAAGGUGAGGACGACGUCAAGUCAUCAUGGCCCUUACGGCUAGGGCAACACACGUGCUACAAUGGCCUGGACAGUGAGACGCGAUACCGUGAGGUGGAGCAAAUCUAUAAACCUGGUCUCAGUUCGGAUUGUAGUCUGCAACUCGACUACAUGAAGCUGGAAUCACUAGUAAUCGUAGAUCAGCAAUGCUACGGUGAAUACGUUCCCGGGUCUUGUACUCACCGCCCGUCACACCAUGGGAGUUGAUUUCACCCGAAAUUGGGAAGCUAACCUUCGGGAGGCUACCACUUACGGUGGAAUUAGCGACUGGGGUGAAGUCGUAACAAGGUAACC